ensembl:lncRNA
AUGUUAAGCCGCUUUCCCCCUCUGAUGCCCUCCUCUUUGCAGGGGUCCAAGGGCCACCUUCCCAGCGGCCACUCCACCCUCCUGGGUCAACCGGGUCCUGAAGGACUUCAGCCCCUCCGUGGCCGAGAGGCGCCAGGAGGCCGGGAUCAACUCAGCCGGCCGCAGCCGCUUCGUCCCCUCGCCUUACUCCUCGUCUUCCUUGGUGGGCAGUUGGGGACGGCGGCCUUCCCGCCUGGCGCUGAGCCCGGACCCGUUUGCGAGGGAGACGGUGGUCAAGGCUCUGCAGGAAAAGGAGAAGGCCAAGAGGAGGAGAGCGGAGGACGGGGGGCCCGAGCAGGAGCCCCUCCUCCGCGGGAGGGACAAGAGGAGGCGCCACGAGAGCGGAAGGAGCGUGCCCUCGGCCCUCGAGCCCUUCCCGUCGGUGUCUCAUGCAGCCGAUCCUGCUGCUCCGGACGCCCUCCCCGUCCUCAAGGAUGCCGCCUCCUCCUUCUCCUACUCCGUGUCUUCCGCCAAGAGGCGCUGCCGCCGCUGCCGCCGCUGCCGCUCCUCCUCCUCACUGUCGUCCGGCUCCACCGAGAGCGUCUCUUACGGCAUCCCCACCAUAUGCAAGGACAAGAGACAAAAGCGAUACCACGAGGACAUAUUCGGGGCGGUGUUUGCGCACGAGAACCAACGAGACACGAGACCACGACCCGGCUUCGAGUCUCCAAAUCCGCUCACGUUUUAGCUGUAUUUUUGCACAUUUGCUCCCCUUUUCCUAUGUCACGGGGAGCCAAAUUUGUCUUUCCCUCCAAAACUUUGGAGGCGAAUCAGUACACUUUGGCUCCCAGGAUUGGUUGGGGACCAGACACCUUUUAUUUAAUGCUAUUUAUUCUAUCAGAUCCUUUGUCAUGUGUGUAUAUUGUAUGGGAAGAGGUCAGUUGUAUGUGUUUUUAAAGAAAUGUAUUGUUCAUAUUUUUGGGAGUUGAUGACUGAGCUUGAACUCUUGGUUUCCCAGAUUUCUAGGCCUUGUCUACACAUCUAGAGUUAACCUAGUAAGUAAGUAAGUAAGUAAAAGUUUAUUUGUAUACCACCCUCUCUCCCGAAAGGGACUCAGGGCGGUUUCCAAUAUAAAAUCAGCAUAAAACAUUGUACAAUAAAACACUGAAAACACUAUAAAACGCUAUAAGAAUUAAAAACAAAAACAAAACGUAACAAUUGAAUAAAACAAUCACAUAAGCAGAAGGAAUAUGAUCACUCAAAUAACAUGAAUCUGCAAAGAAAGAGGAAAAAAGGACCACUGGGAUGGAGGAGAGGAUGGCCUGGAGGGACCACUAGAACUAAAAUACAAUGUUAUAUUCUAAGAUGCUUUCGGGCAGAGGAAUAUAGUGCAAUGUUUCAAGUCAAAGAGAUGGCCUGUGCAACUAGCUAUGGGCUCGGUUAUCCAAAGGCGCAGGUUUUAAGCAGGCUUUUGAAGGAAGCCAGGGUGGGUGCUUGCCGGAUCUCCUCCGGAAGGGAAUUCCAGAUCCGGGGAGUAACAAUAGAAAAUAGAAAACCUAGAUUGACUUCUCCCAUGUCUAAAAAUGUUAAUACAGGGUGAUUGGUUGGGAGUUGCAUCAUUUAUACGGUUGAUUUUCCGUUUCUGUACCUUUGUUUAGUUAACCUAUUGUAUAAACUGUUUUGAUUUUGUAAGAGAAAUAAAUAAUUAUUCCUGCUGCUGAAGGAUUUUGACAUUUUUGCGUACUGUUUUGUCAAACACACAAAAGUUGUCACUCGUGACAUCUAUCUAACUUAUUCUUAUUUCUCAAACACACAAAAGUUGUCACUCAUGACAUCUAUCUAUCUGUCUAUCUAUCUAUCUAUCUAUUAAUCUUAUUCUUAUUUCUCAAACACACAAAAGUUGUCACUCGUGACAUCUAUCUAUCUAUCUAUCUAUCUAAUUCUUAUUUCUCAAACACACAAGAGUUGUCACUUGUGACAUCUAUCUGUCUGUCUGUCUAUCUAUCUAUCUAUCUAUCUAUCUAUCUAUGAAUCUUAUUCUUAUUUCUCAAACACACAAAGGUUGUCACUUGUGACAUCUAUCUAUCUACCUAUCUAUGAAUCUUAUUCUUAUUUCUCAAACACACAAAGGUUGUCACUCGUGACAUCUAUCUACAUAAUGCUUUGAGCUGGGCUUUACAGAAGCAACCACUUGCAAUGAAAGGGUCCCUAAUGGUCACAAUGCCAUGUACUGGGCUUUACAGAAUUAACCACUUGCAAUGAAAUAAGGGUCCACAAUGAGCACAAUCCUAGGGUCCACAAUUAGCACAAUGGUAAGUACUGGGCUUUAUUGAAUGAACCCCUUGCAAUGAAAGGGGGAUCCAUAAGGAUCAUAAUGCCACGCACUGGGCUUUACAGAAUGAACCAUUUGCAAUGAAAGGGUCCACAAUGAACAGAAUGCCAUGCACUAAGCUUUACAGAAUAAACCACUUACAAUGAAAGCAGGAUCCACAGUGAACAAAAUGCUAUGUACUGGUCUUUACAGAAUGAACCUCUUGCAAUGAAAGCAAGAUCCACAAAUGAACAUAAUGCUUUGAACUGGGCUUUACAGAAGCAACCACUUGCAAUGAAAGAAGGGUCCACAAUGAGCACAAUCCUAUGUACUGGGCUUUACAGAAUGAACCAGUUGCAAUGAAAUAAGUGUCCACAAUGAUCACAAUGCUAUGUACUGGGCUUUACAGAAUGAACCACUAGCAAUGAAAGAAGGGUCCACAAUGAACACAAUCCUAUGUACUGGGCUUUACAGAAUGAACCAGUUGCAAUGAAAGAAGGGUCCACAAUUAUCACAAUGCUAUGUACUGGGCUUUACAGAAUGAACCAGUUGAAAUGAAAGAAGGGUCCACAAUGAUCACAAUGCUAUGUACUGGGCUUUACAGAAUGAACCACUAGCAAUGAAAGAAGGGUCCACAAUGAGCACAAUCCUAUGUACUGGGCUUUACAGAAUGAACCAGUUGCAAUGAAAGAAAGGUCCACAAUGAUCACAAUGCUUUACAGAAUGAACCAGUUGCAAUGAAAGAAGGGUCCACAAUGAUCACAAUGCUAUGUACUGGGCUUUACAGAAUGAACCAGUUGCAAUGAAAGAAGGGUCCACAAUGAUCACAAUGCUAUGUACUGGGCUUUACAGAAUGAACCAGUUGCAAUGAAAUAAGGGUCCACAAUCAUCACAAUGGUAUUUAAUGGGCUUUGAAGAUUGAACCAGUUGCAAUGAAAUAAGGUUCCACAAAGGUCACAAUGCUACAUACUGGGCUUUACAGAAUCAACCACUAGCAAUGAAAGAAGGGUCCAUAAUGAUCACAUGCUACGUACUGGGCUUUACAGAAUGAACCAAUUGCAAUGAAAUAAGGGUCUAUAAUUAGGACAAUGGUAAGUACUGGGUAGGCUUGUCCGAUCGAUGGAAAAAAUGUUUCAAUUCUCGUUUCUAAAGUAGGGGGUGCCAGCUCUUCGAUAUAGAAAUUAUUUCUUAAUUUUUCACCCAAAAUUUUCGGAUAUUUCCGAAAAUUCGUAAUGUUUCUAAAAUGUUUCUAAAAUGGCAG